CAUGCGACCUGGACGGAGCUUUCUCAAGGAAUCAGCGAAGAAGAAAAGCAAACUUCCAGGAAGAAGCUAAACUCCAAAGAUCAGUCUGCUAUUCUUGGGGAGCAUCCCGAGCAAAAGUUGGCACUGGCGAAGCAGCUAGGUCUGUGACCUCGACAGGUGCAGGUCUGGUCUCAGAAGAACAGAAAGAGCAAGGGAAGCUCAGACUUAUCAACACGAACAGAAACUUGCUGAGAGGUGCAAGCAGGGAAAGCCUUGGAAGAUAUAUAUUUUGAUCAUUGAUUUUGAUUCUUCUUUCAACAUGUGUUAAUAUCAUGUCGAAGGCAUCACAAUUGGUAAGAUUUUCUCUGCUCAAUUGAAAAUGUUCAGCAACUUAACUACCACCUCUCAUCCUUAAUUUAAGAUUACUUGAAAGUUUGGAUUUGGAUUUUAUCUCUAAGUUUAUAAUUUUUCCUCCAAAAUAUCUAUUUAUUUGUGCAUGCUUAGAGGUUUUUACUAAAAAUUUAUUUCCAUGCAUAUAAUUAAAGAUGAUAGUUUAAAAAAAACUAACAUAUAUUUGUUACAAAUAACUAUCUUAUAUAAUUUUC